GGAUAACCUGCCCUUGGGUUCGGGAUAACUCCGGGAAACUGGGGAUAAUACCGGAUAACGCAUAUAUGUUGGAAUUCUUUAUGCGUGAAACGGAUUCGUCUGCCCAAGGAUGGGUCUGCGGCCUAUCAGGUAGUAGUGGGUGUAAUGUACCUACUAGCCAACGACGGGUACGGGUUGUGAGAGCAAGAGCCCGGAGAUGGAUUCUGAGACAUGAAUCCAGGCCCUACGGGGCGCAGCAGGCGCGAAAACUUUACAAUGCGGGAAACCGUGAUAAGGGGACACCGAGUGCCAACAUCAUAUGUUGGCUGUCCGGGUGUGUAAAAUACACCUGUUAGCAAGGGCCGGGCAAGACCGGUGCCAGCCGCCGCGGUAACACCGGCGGCCCGAGUGGUGAUCGUUUUUAUUGGGUCUAAAGGGUCCGUAGCCGGCUUGGUCAGUCCUCCGGGAAAUCUGACGGCUUAACCGUUAGGCUUUCGGGGGAUACUGCCAGACUUGGAACCGGGAGAGGUAAGAGGUAUUACAGGGGUAGGAGUGAAAUCUUGUAAUCCCUGUGGGACCACCUGUGGCGAAGGCGUCUUACCAGAACGGGUUCGACGGUGAGGGACGAAAGCUGGGGGCACGAACCGGAUUAGAUACCCGGGUAGUCCCAGCCGUAAACGAUGCUCGCUAGGUGUCAGGCAUGGCGCGACCGUGUCUGGUGCCGCAGGGAAGCCGUGAAGCGAGCCACCUGGGAAGUACGGCCGCAAGGCUGAAACU
rnacentral:rRNA from 1 species